AGCUGUGCUGGGCUUCAGCUCUACCUGAUUCUAGGCCCAUGAUCAUGAAGGUGCAUGAUGCCUUUGGUGGUGGCUUCACAAUUAACACAGACCUUGCUGCUACCUAAGGUUAUGUGCCCUGCUAGAGAAGGGAAGGGGGAAAAAUUUAGUAACAAAGGAAGGAUGCUGAAGACACAGCAAUAGUGGCUACUGUGAACCUGAAAUUCAAGCUUGUAGGGCAUGGAGCCACAUGAAGCAAAACCAAGGACAAUUGCAUGUAUUUCUGUGAAAUAAAGUGCUAAUGACAAUGUGUGAGGACCUGGACAGAAAAGAAAAAGGCUUGUCUUUUUAAAAAGUAAUUCUGGGAGAAUCAGAAGCAAGUAUUCACUGAGUUGAUUAAAGUCAGUAUUUAAACAGCUUUUGCAGUGGUGUCUGUCUCGCAGAUGUAACUGCUGGUGGGAGCUGUGCACAGUUGCUGAGUGGGAAGAGAUGAAGGCUGGUGAGGUCUCUCCUGCACCACUGCUUGCCUGGAAGGAGCUCAAACCGGCAGGGCUCCCUGCAGUGUUCGUGCUACCAACUUCCACUGCUCUGCCCACCAGCCUGAAGAUACCUUCUGGGAUCACCAUUGCCUUAAACUUAUUUUUAAAGUCCACUGCACACAUACUUAUGCUAUUGGUGUGUGGAAUAUUUACUCUUUUGGGAAAAAUGAUGAAAGAAUAUGAUUGUCCCAUUCUAUUUGGCACCUGAGUUCAGCUUUUGUCCCCUCAGACAUCAAAAAAAUUGAAUAGGGUCCAGGCAAGGCCCACCAAGGUGAUCAGAGUGUUGAAGGACUUGGUGUUUGAAGCAAGGUUGAAUGAACUUUGUUUGUUCAACCUAGGGAUCAGAAGGCUGGGGGGAGCUUAUUACAAUCUUCUAAAGCCUCCAAGGUAGUUUUAGAGAAGUUGCACAUACCCUUUUCACAAGGAUGCACAGUACCAGGACAUGAGGCAAUGUGCACCAGCUGCUUUGGGAGAAUUCUCUCUAGAUAAUAGAAAUAUUCUUCAUCAGUAAAAACAGCUAGACGUUGGACUAGGUAGCCCAGAGAAGUGGUGGACUUUUUUACAGGCAAUAUUCAGCUCCCUGGGGCACUGAAUAACUUUAAUGUAAGGCCAUGCUUCCAAAUGAACAUUGAAURGGCUGUUCCAGAGCUUCUUUCCAACUUAGAUCCUCUCCCAUGGUGUAUGUAAACCACUGAACUCCCGAAAGAAAUUUCGGGCAGAUUUAUUUUGUACAGAGCUGAAUUACACAUCAGAAACUUAUCACUGGGACAGGGUUGAGAUGAUAUCAGUACUUUUAAAACGUUGCAAUUUGGACUGAUUAAUGCUUUCAGUGCAUGUUUGUCAUUGGUUUCUCCAAGGCCAUAAACUGGAGAAAAACAAGCCUCUUUCAAUUAAAAAUAAAUAGCCUUCCUAGCUUCCAUUUAUUAUUUUUCAUAUUGAGUUAUGCAACAGAUGUUUGUAGUGAUUUGACACAGGAUAAGAAGCAUCUUUUCUCCAAAGAAUUCACUGUAUGGUGCUCAGAUUCCUUCUGGCUUUUAUUCUGAGCCUGUUUUAGGGGAGUUGUUCUGCUUUUUGCUCUUGAAAUUGAAGAAGAGGUGUUGAAUUUAUCCGAGCCUUACAGUGUAAGAUGAACAAAUUGCUUUUGUCGUGGGAAUGCAGCAGAUUGCGUGCAAUGGAAAAUGGCCUGUAAUAACACGAGAGCCUAUAUUUAUUUAAGAACAUUUAAGCACUUCAUUUUUAUAUCUUAAGAUGUAGAAAAAAUAGAAGAACAUGUCAAAAGCAAACACUACAGUAGCACAUGUCAGAAUGACAUUCUACUAGAAAUACUUGUCAUGGAGGAAUGCUGUGCAGUGUUGGGGAUGAGCUGACAUUUGGGAGCCUUGUAUGGGCUUUACMAACUGUGGUAAGCUAGAAAAAAGGGAAAAUUAAUCCUGGGUAUGUGACUGCCAUACACUGUUAAUGGUGUUUCUGGUGCUGUACACUGAAACUAGAUGUGACUCAUUAGAAAUAUGUAUUUUAGUAGAAGUUGGARCAUGUUAGGCUGAUAUGAGAAACGUAAAGCUGAAAUCUGACUAGCAGCAUGUAAGAUAUGCUAAGUAAAUUUGCUUUAAUUGGAGAACAAGUGCUGUAGUUGUGCACAGGCAGCUACUUCUGUCAYUUUACAGAGUUACUGUUUGCUUGGACGCAGUCUGAGCUCAGUGAGCUUUUCACUGCCAUCUACUCAGUGAAGAAAACCUGGUCCCGUAGAAGACUUCUCUUCAAAUUUUUUAGUUGAAGUUGAAUUAGGUCUUGGAUUGUGUUUUUAUCUGUUAGACUAUCUGUGAAACUUCCUUCUCUAAGCUGUAAUAUUAGGCAGAAGACCCUGAAGAAGCAUGGUUGGAAUUAUGGGAUUAUGUUGGCAGGUUCCCUCUUUUAUGUAGGGAUCCAAGGUCCUCUGAGCUAUUUGUGCUGGAUAUGUGUGUACCAAGAUAUGCUCUAGAGUAAAUUAAACAGGCCUCAGCAUGGGCAGAGGCCAGGAUUUUCUGAUCUGUUUCCAAGUGUGGACCAGAGGGUAAGAUGCAUCAGAGUUCAGGACCCACAUGAAAUAUGGGAAAGAUGUGAGCUGGUCAGCCUCAAGGAUUGGCACCUGAUGUGAACAGCAACAAUAGUGUGAAAUUACCCUCAGUAGCUUCAUCAUGCUGUAAUGAAUAAGCCAGGGUGAAUAUGAGCUGUWUUUAUUGUAUUUUCACUUGUGCUGGAGCAUCCAUGUGUGAAAGCGCAUCAGCUGGCAUGGUGGUUGCAUGAAAAUGCAUCAUAAAAAUCAAAUAAUCUUUUACCAGUGCUAGAAAGCAUUGUGCUGUACAUAUAACACUGACUUGGCCACUGGCAGGGAAGUUGCCUUCAUCAGUGGCUACUUUAUUACCUUAAAUAAACUUAGCUGGAAGCUCCAGUGUCACAAAAACAAAGUGAAGUUCUUCAUCUGGACCUUUCCCGCUAAUGCCCUUUGCAGCUGUGUGCAAACUGUGCAUCCCAUCUCCUUGUCUUUUUUUUUUUAACUACUAAAGAAGAAAACCAUAGAAUGAAAGGGAAAGACAAUUCUCCUCAACAUAAAGAUGUCUUUUAAUGACGGGAUACAUCGGGGAUCGUGUCCUUUAGUUGUGCCUGCUUUGACACUUGGUUGACYACUGUGUUUUGACCUUUCUCAUGCAGAAAAUGCUAAAUGGGUCUGAGGGAUCAGAACUUUUUAAUUCCUGGGAUGAAGCAAAGGUCAGAAAAAUCCCAUCACAAAUGUGAUAUUCAUUUCACAGGUUUUAGUGCUUUCAGUUAAGAUUUAAAAAUCAUAUCAGAGGCUAGACAUGCAUUUGUUCUCAUAUUUCUAUAAAUCUGAAAAAACCUUAAAGUAAUAUUGAUUUUUUGUUUUGUUUCUCUGUUCUAUCAAUCCAGAAUGCUAUUAAGUAUCAAGAUGAUGACUAAUUUCUCUCCAGUGAAAUAUUUAUGAGAASGAAAUAAAAAUAUUUUUUGCUAGAGUGCCUACGAGGUUAGACUUGAAAGCCUUCCCCAUCCUGUGCUGUACAAUGAAGACUGACAAUACCAUUGAGCCAGGCUGGCACCCAGCAAGGGUYGUGCUGUCGUCUUCUCACCCAAGCCUCCUUAGAUGGAUGUUCUCUUUCACAGAGGAAUGAAAGUUACUUUAGUGAACAAGGUGGAUGAGACUCUGUCAAGUCAAUCUUCCAAAGAUUUCCAAGUUGUGCAUGUCAAAUAGACCCAAUGAGAAAGACAUUUUGCAUAUCAUGAAAUAUUUGAAUGCUCCCCAGAUGACUGCCUGUAGUCAGGCUGUAUCUUUGGACUCUACCCAUGCUCUGGGGAAGAACUACCUUUGAAAGGGAGCRUGACAACAGUUUAGAAAAAGAUGAUGUGACACAAUUUUUUAAAGUCAAGCACAGAUURGGCAAAUUCCAUUACCUAAAACAACCAGAGGAAUGAAAUACAAAUAUCUAAUCUGAGAGGAAGAGACUGCCUUAGUAAAACUACCUUUAUGAAUAGAGAUUAGAAAGAGAAUGCUUUUAGUUAGUGCUUUUGCCCCUCUUUCCUCUGGUGUCUGCUUGUGUUUCUUCUUAUUGCUCUGGUAUUUUGAGCUUCAGGAUUAUUGCUAUAUUCCUGAAGAUUUGAAAGCAAAUAGCAGAGGAGUAAUUCCAGACCUAAUCUUAUUUCUUAGGCUGAAACACAGACAGCCAYAAGGAGCUUUAAAGUCAAUGAGAAAGACAUUCCCUAACCUUAGUUUUAGAACUUUUUUACUUUCCUAACUUGUCCAGCCUGACUGUUGGCAGCUACCACUGUCUUUACUGAAUGAGGUUUAUCACUGGGAUUGCCCACCUUAAUAUUUUCUAUAUAAUAUUAUACAUACUUUAAGUUCAACCAACUAGAAGCUUUGAACUCAAGGACUUGGUCUUAAAUCCAGGAUCAGUAAUGACGGUACGUGACGCAGAUCUCUUCUGCUUGAGACACUGAGAUUCUGAGCACAAAACUAAAUUAAUGAACCUCUCCAGCUCUUUGAUAGAAACUUGGAAGUUUAACUGUUGCACGUGCACCUUGUGAUGUUUUAUUCAGAAAAUGUUAUGUUUUUACCAAGACUGCUGUUAUCUACUUGGUUUUCUGCAAUCUGUUCUCCACGUGUACUCUGAGGCAACAUGUGCAGAACUUGAACAGAUUUUAAAAUGUUGCAUAGAUUUUAUUGAAUUAUUACUAUUUGCAGUUUGGAUAAUUUUCUGCAAUGUUAUUUAUCUGGAAUGAAUAAAUA